rnacentral:rRNA from 1 species
GAUCAUGGCUCAGGAUGAACGCUAGCUACAGGCUUAACACAUGCAAGUCGAGGGGCAGCAUGGUCUUAGCUUGCUAAGGCCGAUGGCGACCGGCGCACGGGUGAGUAACGCGUAUCCAACCUGCCUUACACUCUUGGACAGCCUUCUGAAAGGGAGAUUAAUACAAGAUGUUAUCAUGAGUAAGCAUUUUCGCAUGAUUAAAGGUUUACAGGUGUAAGAGUGGGGAUGUCCG